rnacentral:rRNA from 1 species
GAUGAACGCUAGCGGCAGGCUUAACACAUGCAAGUCGAGGGGUAGAAGGAGCUUGCUCCUUUGAGACCGGCGCACGGGUGCGUAACGCGUAUGCAAUCUACCUUUUGCAGAGGGAUAGCCCAGAGAAAUUUGGAUUAAUACCUCAUAGUAUGUGAGGAUGGCAUCAUUUUCACAUUAAAGUCACAACGGCAAAAGAUGAGCAUGCGUCCCAUUAGCUAGUUGGUAAGGUAACGGCUUACCAAGGCUACGAUGGGUAGGGGUCCUGAGAGGGAGAUCCCCCACACUGGUACUGAGACACGGACCAGACUCCUACGGGAGGCAGCAGUGAGGAAUAUUGGACAAUGGGCGGCAAGCCUGAUCCAGCCAUGCCGCGUGCAGGAUGACGGUCCUAUGGAUUGUAAACUGCUUUUGUACAGGAAGAAACACUACUUCGUGAAGUAGCUUGACGGUACUGUAAGAAUAAGGAUCGGCU